AAUUUAUAUGACUGUAGAUUCCAAACGCAGUUAUUGUGGAGUUUCAACAAGACCACAUAUGAGAAAGAAAGAGAGAAAAUAUCUGCAUGUGUCAGUGUUCAAAUGACACCAUCAGAGACUGUUGAGAGUAAGACAAGACCUCUCCUUUGUGACCAGUUAACUGAUACUAGACAAGUAUUGUUCUAGCAGGUAAAAUGACUCGAAGAUAUCUUCAAACUUUAUAUUUUUUAAUAACCCCCAUAAUACAGAAUUACCUAUGGAUGUACAUGUUGGAGUACAUUCACGUGAAAGUAUAGAAUCAGACAUUAUUCAGGCAGACUUUCCCUGUUCCAAAUACUCCUUAAUUGAGGAACUACCUUGACUACUAAUUUUAAAUCACAAUAGUUCCAUGCAGAAGGGAGAGCUAAGUUUUGGGUUACAAAAUUUUGAAAACCACCAUAUAGAACCCACCUAAAAUAUCCAACCACCAACUUGCCACUGGCGAUGGCUGAGAAAGCAGAAGGGAGGCAGAUGUGGUUGUUGCCCAGUUGGAAAUGAUGAUACUAAUAAGACUUUAAGUGAAGUAAGCAGAAGGAGUUUGGGGCAUUUGUUAUGCUCUCCUUGAAGCUCUGUUCUGAGUCCUCCCAGACCUGGCUGGAGAUUGAUUUUCCUUCUGUGCUAGAUAUCCUACGUGAAAAUAACCAUGGCAGUAUUAAUAAUAGCACUGUAGCAGCUGUUUGGAAAGUGAGCACCUUCCAUACCUUAACUUUCUAUUUUGCCUGGUAGAUUGCACUCUUUUCCUUUUCACUAGCAGAUAGUUCUCUGAGUACGAAUCUAAAGAGAGGAGAGCCAAGGCUAUCUAUAUUGCCUAUGGUAAGACAGCAUAGUGAGACAUUUCCUUAAAAAUCUGGGAAUGACUGCAAAUGGCAUUGGGAAUACAAUCAUGAGUUGGUUGCCCCUGAUGGUAGUUCUUCAGGUUCAUGCAUAGGAAGCUCCAAGGGAAGGUUGACUCAUUAGAUGCACCAAAGGUUGGCUUACUCUAAAAAUGAACAUGUCAUGAGCAUGCACACAGGGUUAAUAACAUAUAUUGAGCUUUUCCUAUAUGCUAGAUUCUUUUUUACCUUCUUAUUAAAUCCAAACAACAACGUCCCAGUGAAGAUGUUGUUAUCAACAAGAAUAUAAGCAGAAUGAGUAGCAAUUUGGGUUCACUUGUAUACAAUAAACACUUGGCACAUUUGCUUUUCAAAUGAUUUAAUAAAUGUUAACCUUAUGGAUGAAGAAACAGAGUUUUGCAGAGAUUGAAUACUCUGCCAAAUUCCCCCAGCCAGAUAACGCCAGAACAGGGAAACAGGCCUGACGCUAUGGGGAGAUUUUGUUCCCUGCCAGAGGUUCAGCAUACCCAAAUCCCCUCCCUUGUGUGGGCCCUGGUUGGAGUUGGACACAAGAAAAAUUUGCAUGAGAUAUGGAAGGUAGAAGUGAAGCAGCAGCUGUUAUGCUCAGAGGAUGGACAUAUGGAUGCCAGGCACCAUGACAGUGUCAACUUACACGUCAUCACUUAUCUGCUGGUUCACCUCGUUGGUGUGGGGCAAUGGCUGGGUCCACAGCUUCUCUAGUUUUCAGCAGAUCUCUUCCUUUCAGUUCUUUGAGUCCUGAGCCAUGGCAGGAACCUUGUGCAGCUUCACGGCAAAGGACACCAGUCUCUUCUGCAAGUUAUCUAUAUUGUUGAGGUUGGAGGCCAUGAGAUACAGAUGUGGGUUUUAGUUUGUCUUGUCUCUCUGUUCAUGUCCAGCUUGUCUUCCUGAUUGCCAGCCUUCUUGACCUCUAGUGACUUCAAGGCUACUGCCAGAUGCAAAGGCAACAGCCUCCCAUAGGCUUCUUUAUAAGUUCCCACAAUGCUGUCGAGUCUAACCUCUUCAGUAAACCAUUUAUUUCAUAUCACUUGUGGUGGCUGUGCUUCCAUGAUCAAACUUUAGCUGUUAUGGUUUGUCAGACUCCAAAUUUCCAGGAUACUGCACUCACUGGGAGACUAUGAGGGUGAAGGCACGAGCAGGUUUCAGUGGGACUGGAAUCCUCUGGCUUUAGGAAACUGAGUACUUCCUUAAUCAGAUGCUCAGAGAACAAAGCAAGGGGAUAUACAUGAGCAAAACAGAAAAUUGAGAAGUCAUAUCAAUGUUUCAUUUAGCUUAUGAGAUUACAGAGCUAGUAAUUUCAUGGCCAAUUAUAUGUUUAAGAUAGGCCAAAAAUAAGUUGAAAAAAUAUUUCAGUGGCCGUUUGUGGACAAUAUAAAAAUGACAUUUUUCUGAUUUCUCAAUCAGUGCUUUUCAGUAUCUUAGUCACAGCCUACAUUUACAUGCCAAACAUCUGCAUGGAAAGUGAAAAUAUGCUGUUAUAACCUAGAUGAAACAUCUGGAAGAUGAUAUUUUUCUACUUUUUAUUCAUUUGGUGUCACAUAGAUCUAGGCAUCAACACAUAUCUCUUUUCCCUUAACUUUAAAAAAACAUGAUUUUAUUUUUCAGUGCACUUUUUCUGGAAAACAAUUUUGCAAGGUGCAAGGUAUUCAGAUGAAGUGCUGAAAUCUUGGCUGUAGGAAAAGUUAAGCAUAACCAACCAACACUUACUUCAACCCCAACUGCAACACUUCUGAGACUUACCCUUUGCCAUUUAGCACGUUCCUUUUGCUGUCUGCUUGCACACUAUGUACCCUGGGACUUUCCUGGUUUUCUCUGCCUUCUGCUUUUGGGGUAAUAUUGGUUUAACCAAUAUUAAACCAAGAAGUACAACAUUAGAAAGACCCAAUUUUCUUACAUGAAAGCAAGAAGUUUAUUCAACUCAUUGCUUCACUUUAUUUCUAGGGGCCUUUUCUAGGUCCAGAAAGAAGUUGUCCUUAGCCCUAGACUUUCUGUACCUCUACCCACCCUCCCUUCAGUAUGUAUGUACGUUGUCUGUCUUGAGUGAGAUAAUAUGCCCAUGCAGAUACGCUCUUCUUUGUUUUCUAAGCAUUAGGGUUGCUGAUACACAACAAUAUUUUUUCUUGGUAGAAGUAUGUUCCAUGCAAUAUUUGGGAUAUAUUUUAUGCACAAUUACUUGCUGUUUAGCUAAAAUUCAAAUUUAACUGGGCAUCCUGUAUUUUAUUUGCUAAAUCUGUCAACCAUAGUGUAGAUACUUCUCGCAUCCCCAAUCUCCCAAAGCUCCCAUUUUCUAAAUCCUGCACACUGACAAGACUUUCAACAGUAAGUUAACUUCUGGACAGCUUGCCAGACUCUCCUUGAGGAAUGUGUUUGCCUUCUAGCAUUUGGAUGAAUAAUUUAGUUCUGCCACUAAAACAAAACAUGAAUGGGCAUUUGAUGUAAACAUUAUUUUCCUCACUGCUUUGGCUGAAGAGCUGAAGAGUUAGAAAGGUCCUACCGGCAACAUCCACCUUUCUGAAAUGCACUGCUUGCUCACAGACUUAAGGUGUAGCUUGAGCUGUUUCUGGGUUACACAGCUUUUCUUCUAUUUCCGUUUUUUUCUUCUUCAAAGUUUCUAGUCUUCUUUUCUUACAGAAGUAUGACCUCUCUUCAAGUCUCAACCAGGACCAACAUUUGUGCCAUCCAGAUUUUGCGACCCAGAAAUGGCCAUCUGACCAGUCCAUGGAAGGCCUUCCUAGACUGGAGUGUGUAUUCUUAUGACCCAGAUCACAUAAUACUGACAGAGAGGUAUUUGGCAGUAACAUGGGUAAUAAUGGUAAGGAAGGGUAUAUGGACUACGAUUUAUAAAGGCUUUUUGAAAUUAGCUUGAAAAUAACACUUACUGGGAUUUCCCACAUUUUAAAACUAACAUGCUUAUUGUAGAAAAACAUGCAAAACAUACAAAAGCUAAAAGCAAACAUAACAAAACAAUCACUCACAAAUUCACAUCUUGAGAUAUUCACUGUUGUUAUUUUUGGUGUAUAUUUAUAAUAUUUUUCUAUAAAUUUAUUUGUUGUUUCAAAAAAGUACCAUAUAACACAGAAAUACACAGCAACUUUUUUUUGUGAUUUAGCAAUGGAUUUUGAACAUUUUUUUCUGUGCAGAGUACAUGUGUAUGUCAAUAAUUCUCAAUAUUUUUUGGGUUGCAGAUCUUAUUUAAGAAAGUAAAGCUGCUUCUUUCACGAAAACAACUAUACAGGUACCUAGAGGAUUUGGGUACAAUUUCAGAUCAUUAAAAUACAUCUGUAGAUCCUAAAGAUAAAGAAGUCCUGUUCUAAAGUAUCACAACUAAUUUGAAUGACUGACAUGGGAUAUUUUGAGGCUUCCAGUAAGAAUUUAUUUUAUAUAAGCUAAAUAGGCAAUUAGACAUUUGCUACAUUGGGACCUCAUAUUAUAAGAUUUUGCUUUUUUUUUUUCUUGGAAUUCAGGUUUUUAGGGUAGUGGUCCCCAACUUUUUUGGCAGCAGGGACUGGUUCAUGGAAGACAAUUUUUCUGCUGAGCAGGGGUGGGAGGUGGGCAGGGUUGGGUGAUGGUUUCGGGAUGAAACUGUUUCACCUCAGAUCAUCAGGCAUUAGAUUCUCAUAAGGAGCACACAACCUAGAUCCUUUGCAUAUGCAGUUCACAGUGGCAUUUCUGCUUCUUUGAGAAUUUAAUGCUGCUGCUGAUCUGACAGGAGGUGGAGCUCAGGUGGUAAUGCUCACUUCCCCGCCAUUCACCUGCUGCUGUGCAACCCUGUUCCUAAUAGGCCACAGACCAGUACAUGUCCACAGCCCAGGGGCAUGGCAAGAGGAGACAUUAGCAAAUAUGCAGAUUGUCCUGUUUACAUGUCAGCUCUGAAGACUGUUGAGUUGAUGGGUCUUCCCUUGGUUGCAAGCCAACAGCAGUCAGAAGCAAGAAACCUUGUCUAGAUUUCACAAUAACCUUGUCACAAGUCUCACGUUUCCUGUAGGAAAGCUGAAUUUACCAGCACACUCACUGUGAGUAAAACUGUAACUCUGCUCUGAGCAGAAGGCUUGUGCUGAGGAUAAAAACAAAUUCUCAGUGGAAAUACAAAAUUGAUCUAUUAAUUCCUGGAUGCUAAAGACAAUGAUUUUUUCCUGUCUGGUGGCUGUUUUUCUUUUGUAUGUAACUUUCAGUUUAUUUCCGUAGUUAGGAAAGAGAUAAAGCAACUUGAGAAAGCAUAGGAAGGUGUAGUCCCCUGAAAUCUAAAUGAAGCCUGUUUGGUCUUGCAGUUUCCUGUGCAGGUCUGGCCUGGGGCAGGACUAUAUGGGCAUCUGCAGCCCACACAAUGUAGGAAAAAGACUGGUAGAAUAUUAUCAUUAACUAAAGUAACUAUAGAUGUUCAUUACUGAGCACUUAUUGUACAAUGGCCAUUGGGCUAGGUGCUCUACCUAAAUUACAUUAAAUUCUCACCACUCUAAAAAGUAGGUAUCAUUUUUCUUUUAUGUGGAAGGGGCUGUGCCACUGAAUGGGUAAGAGCACAGACUCUGGCUUUCCACAAUCUCGAUUCAUACAUAUUGGCCUUGUGACCUUGAGAAAGUUACUUAGUCUCCUUGUGCGGCAUUUCUUUCAUCUGUAAAAUGGGGCUAAAACACAAAUUUGAAUCCAGGUCAGAGUUUCUUUUUUAAAUUUAUUUUUUAAUAAAAAAUUUUAAUGAGAUGUAAUUCACAUAUAUUAAAAUUUGCCCAUUUAAAGUGUACAAUACCAUGUUUUUAUUUUUCAUUUUUAAAUUUUAAUUUUUAUUCUUCCAACCUUUUUUUUUUUUUUUUUUUUCUGAGACAAGGUCUCACUCUGUUACCCAGGCUGGAGUGCACUGGGGCGAUCUCGGCUUACUGCAACCUCGGCUCACUGCAACCUCUGCCUCCCGGGCUCAAGUGAUUCUCUUGCUUCAGCCUUCUAAGUAGCUGGAAUUAACAGGCAUGUGCCACCACGCCUGGCUAAUUUUUUGUAUUUUUAGUAGAGACAGAGUUUCACGAUGUUGGCCAGGCUGGUCUUGAGCUCCUGGCCUCAAGUGAUCUGGCCACCUUUGCCUCCCAAAGUGCUGGAAUUAUGGGCGUGAGACACUGCGCCUGGCCUUUCCCACCUUCCACCCUCAAGUGGGCCCCAGUGUCUAUUGCUCCCCUCUAUGUGUCCAUCUGUACUCAAUGUUUAGCUCCCACUUAUGUGGUCAGUGUUUAGCUCCCACUUUAGAACAUGCGGUAUUUGGUUGUCUGUUCCUGAAUCAAUUUGUUUAGGAUAAUGUCAGCCAGGGUUUCUACCCAGGAAAGCCUACUGCCUGAUUCAGUCCUUAGCUAAAUUGUAAAGAUCCCUUUGAUUCCUCCCUCCAGCCCUCCUUUCUCACUACAGCACCCUCUCUCCCUAUCUCCACUAACAAGAUCUUUCCUUCCCUCUCCUUCUUCUCUUCAUAACUUCGCUUGCAACUUCCGGUUUCCAGGCUACAGAAUGCCAGCUUUCACAAGUGUGAGGACUGCUAUGAAAGAGAGGCACAUGCAUAGCAAGGGCAUUUUUAGACCUCCAAAGCCUCAGGAACACAGGAAGUAAUUCUCUAAUAAAUAGAUAUCUGGAAUUGUAACUGGUUGAAGGAAAUACUUGGUGCCAAAUUCCUAUUUAGUGCUCCUCAAAACACACGAUGAUGGAAAGUGGCCUCCUCCUUUUUCUAAAUUAAUUGGGCUUUGAUAUGGGUCUGGAAGAAACUCAUGAGCUGCAGUCUUUCAUUCAGGAACUUAAUAACUUUUGGCCAUAGUUGGAAUGACUUGUCAUGUUUGGGUCCAGCCAAUAGGGAACACAGGUCACAUCUUUCCCUGCAUAAGCCCACAGCCACCCAUGCUGUGGGUAGCUGUCCCUUUCCUUUCCCUUCAUAAAGUGGAUAGGAGGCGAAUAAGGCUGAAUAGUAAUUAUAAACAUCUGGUGGUUACUUUAUGAUUAGGUCAUGUUAAAGAUUUUGGGAAGCCUUCCAUCAGUCUCAGUUAAUAUCUUUCCAAUUAUGUUUACAUUGACAUUUACCCUGGGCCCUGUAACUUCUCAUUAUGCCUUCUGGAGUUAUCCCAUACGCUCUGGGCGUGGUGAGAAGUUCACCAGGGAGGCAAGGAUUACUGCUGCUACUGCUUGAUCAAGGGGAAAGGCAGCCAGCAGUUCCAAGGAGCCAGGAAGGGACUGCCCAGACAUGAAGAAAGAUAAUGUGGUUACUAUUUUGUCAUAUACUUUGGCUUUAUUUUACCUGAAAGUUCAAUGACCAAGAUACUAGAAAAAGUCUUCAUAGCACUGAGGGGCUGUUUCUGAAUUAGAGACACAACUGAUAGUUGGAAGCCUGUUGUUUGUGAGAAAGAAUUGUUUGACUAGCAACACACCUAGCCUCUCUGCAUUAAUCUCCCAAAUGAAAUUCAGAACAGGUAUUGGAAGCCUAGACAUGAAAUGAAAGAAAAAUGUAUGAACUAAGUACACUGAUUGCAUUCAUUCAGCAGGUGUUUUCUUGUUGUCUGAGCAACUUCUAUAUAUUUAGCUCACUGCAUAACAAGGUGCAGAUACAGUGGUAUAUAAGACAUUGUCAGCUGGGCACGGUGGCUCAGGCCUGUAAUCCCAGCACUUUGGGAGGCCGAGGUGGGCAGAUCACUUGAGGUCAGGAGUUCAAGACCAGCCUGACCGACACGGUAAAACCCCAUCUCUACUAAAAAAAAAAAAUACAUAAACAAAGCCGGGCGUGGUGGCAUAUGCCAGUAAUCCCACCUACUUGGGAGGCUGAGGCAGGAGAAUCAGUUAAACCCGGGAGGCAGAGGUUUCAGUGAGCCGAGAUGGUGCCACUGCACUCCAGCCUGGGCAACAGAGUGAGACUCCGUCUCAAAAAAAAAAAAAAAAGACAUUGUCUCCUUUCUCUAAAGCCAUAUGGUUUAGUUGGGUGGUAAGGUAGAUGAUAAAAUAUUUACAUAAAAUUAUAAGUAUAGAAAAUGAAGCAUAUACUCUAAGUAAUACACAAAAAUGUCUCCUGAUAAGCCUUUUAUUUUGUGUUUGGUGUAAUUUUUUAAAGUGACAUGUUCAUGUUUUUGAAUAAAUUUUACUUACGUCUUUGUGUUUUUAUGUACUUUCCAGUGGAAAAUUAUUAAAAAUGUUUUCCCAGCAAAUCAACACAAUUUAAUAGUAAAUAGCAAUAUUAGCAGCAUUCCAUCUAGUGCAAAAUAGGUCUUUCAAGCACAGUGGCCAAUGACCGUGGAGAAGUCUCCCAGGAAGGUUCUGGAACAGGUUCUUACAGGAAGGGCAGCCGAGAACAUCAAUGAUUAAAAGGGGGCUGAGAAGAGGAAACUGAUGGACAAAGAGGUGAGAAGUGGGAGAAAGAACGAAAAUCUGGAGGUUGGAGGAUAAACAAACCCACAUCCUUGUGGAUGAAGAAGGAUACCAAAAACUCAUUUUCCUGGAAGGAGCAAUUUUUGAAAUCAGCUACACUGAGGCUGCAGAUUGAGUGAAGGUCUUUUCCAUGUGAAUUUGUCCUGCAUCUGGGAUAAAGGUAUAAUGAUUACCUAAAGCAUGUUCUGUUCAUGGAAGAUCACUGGAACACAAAAGACCAAGCUCACAGCAUAUUCAAGACAUCUGCUCGUAUUCCACUGGCCAAAGAAAGUGAUGUGGCCCAGCCUAAAGUCAGCAACAUGGAUGGAACCGAAGGUCAUUGUCCUAGGUGAAAUAACUGAG
rnacentral:lncRNA from 1 species